CUACGGGAGGCAGCAGUGGGGAAUAUUGGACAAUGGGGGCAACCCUGAUCCAGCGACGCCGCGUGUGUGAAGAAGGCCUGCGGGUUGUAAAGCACUUUUAGUGGGGACAAAAAGCUACGGACUAAUACUCUGUGGUCUUGAUUUAACCCAAAGAAAAAGCACCGGCUAACUCUGUGCCAGCAGCCGCGGUAAUACAGAGGGUGCAAGCGUUAAUCGGAAUUACUGGGCGUAAAGCGUGCGUAGUCGGUCAUUUAAGUCGGGUGUGAAGUCCCCGGGCUCAACCUGGGAACUGCAUUCGAUACUGGAUGGCUAGAGUUCGGCAGAGGGAAGCGGAAUUUCGGGUGUAGCGGUGAAAUGCGUAGAUAUCCGAAGGAACAUCAGUGGCGAAAGCGGCUUCCUGGACCAGAACUGACGAUCAGGCACGAAAGCGUGGGGAGCAAACAGGAUUAGAUACCCCUGUAGUCC
rnacentral:rRNA from 1 species